GUCCCGCAACGAGCGCAACCCUCGACCUUAGUUGCCAGCAUUCAGUUGGGCACUCUAAGGUGACUGCCGGACUAAAGUCGGAGGAAGGUGGGGAUGACGUCAAAUCAUCAUCGCCCCUUUAUGACCUGGGCUACACACGUGCUACAAUGGGCGGUACGAAAGGGUCGCGAACCCGCGAGGGGGAGCCAAUCCCAAAAAGCCGCUCUCAGUUCGGAUUGCAGGCUGCAACUCGCCUGCAUGAAGCCGGAAUCGCUAGUAAUCGCGGAUCAGCAUGCCGCGGUGAAUACGUUCCCGGGCCUU
rnacentral:rRNA from 1 species